CGUCUAUAUACGUAUAGCAUAUCAAUAAGCGGAGGAAAAGAAACUAACUAGGAUUCCCUCAGUAACGGCGAGUGAAGCGGGAAGAGCUCAAAUUUGAAAUCUUCAAGGUUCUACCUUGACGAAUUGUAGUUUAAAGAAGUGUUUUCUGUUGGAGUUUUGGUAAAAGUUCUUUGGAAUAGGACAUCAUAGAGGGUGAGAAUCCCGUAUUUGACCAUUAUUUCCAACUUUGUGAUACACUUUCAAAGAGUCGGAUUGUUUGGGAAUGCAGUCCAAAAUGGGUGGUAAAUUUCAUCUAAAGCUAAAUACUGGCGAGAGACCGAUAGCGAACAAGUACCGUGAGGGAAAGAUGAAAAGAACUUUGAAAAGAGAGUUAAACAGUACGUGAAAUUGUCAAAAGGGAAGCGUUUGACACCAGUGUUGUUUUCUCGAAAAUCAAUUAAAAAUGGCUGGAUUUUGUGUUGUAUUGACCUUUAAUCAGCUUUCUUCACUUUUUUCAUUGUCUUUUUUAAUGCACUUUUCGUUUAAACAAGUCAACAUCAGUUUCUUUUGCUGUAAAAGAGUCAUUGGAAGGUGGCUUUCUUUUCGGAGAAAGUGUUUAUAGCCUUUGACUUCUGCAGUCGGAGAGAUUGAGGUCUGCAGCGUAGAUUCCUUCGGGGUUAGAUACAUUUGUGCUAAGUUAUAGCCUUUCAUAGACAACUUGUUGACUAUGAUCAGUCAUGUAGCUUACUCGCUUAUGUCAUUUUACCUACGCUUAGGAUGUUGACGAUCAGCUGAGCGCG
rnacentral:rRNA from 1 species